GUGAAAUUCCGUCGGAAUCUGGGAGGACCAUCUCCUAAGGCUAAAUACUCUCUAGUGACCGAUAGUGAACCAGUACCGUGAGGGAAAGGUGAAAAGCACCCCGGAAGGGGAGUGAAAUAGAACCUGAAACCGUGUGCUUACAAGUAGUCAGAGCCCGUUAAUGGGUGAUGGCGUGCCUUUUGUAGAAUGAACCGGCGAGUUACGAUUUGAUGCAAGGUUAAGCAGUAAAUGUGGAGCCGUAGCGAAAGCGAGUCUGAAUAGGGCGUUUAGUAUUUGGUCGUAGACCCGAAACCAGGUGAUCUACCCUUGGUCAGGUUGAAGUUCAGGUAACACUGAAUGGAGGACCGAACCGACUUACGUUGAAAAGUGAGCGGAUGAACUGAGGGUAGCGGAGAAAUUCCAAUCGAACCUGGAGAUAGCUGGUUCUCUCCGAAAUAGCUUUAGGGCUAGCCUCAAGUGAUGAUUAUUGGAGGUAGAGCACUGUUUGGACGAGGGGCCCCUCUCGGGUUACCGAAUUCAGACAAACUCCGAAUGCCAAUUAAUUUAACUUGGGAGUCAGAACAUGGGUGAUAAGGUCCGUGUUCGAAAGGGAAACAGCCCAGACCACCAGCUAAGGUCCCAAAAUAUAUGUUAAGUGGAAAAGGAUGUGGCGUUGCCCAGACAACUAGGAUGUUGGCUUAGAAGCAGCCAUCAUUUAAAGAGUGCGUAAUAGCUCACUAGUCGAGUGACACUGCGCCGAAAAUGUACCGGGGCUAAACAUAUUACCGAAGCUGUGGAUUGUCCUUUGGACAAUGGUAGGAGAGCGUUCUAAGGGCGUUGAAGCAUGAUCGUAAGGACAUGUGGAGCGCUUAGAAGUGAGAAUGCCGGUGUGAGUAGCGAAAGACGGGUGAGAAUCCCGUCCACCGAUUGACUAAGGUUUCCAGAGGAAGGCUCGUCCGCUCUGGGUUAGUCGGGUCCUAAGCUGAGGCCGACAGGCGUAGGCGAUGGAUAACAGGUUGAUAUUCCUGUACCACCUAUAAUCGUUUUAAUCGAUGGGGGGACGCAGUAGGAUAGGCGAAGCGUGCGAUUGGAUUGCACGUCUAAGCAGUAAGGCUGAGUAUUAGGCAAAUCCGGUACUCGUUAAGGCUGA
rnacentral:rRNA from 1 species